UACGGAGGAUGCAAGCGUUAUCCGGAAUGAUUGGGCGUAAAGUGUCCGCAGGUGGCUAUGUAAGUCUGCUGUUAAAGAGUGAGGCUCAACCUCAUAAAAGCAGUGGAAACUACAUGGCUAGAGUGCGUUCGGGGCAGAGGGAAUUCCUGGUGUAGCGGUGAAAUGCGUAGAUAUCAGGAAGAACACCGGUGGCGAAAGCGCUCUGCUAGGCCGCAACUGACACUGAGGGACGAAAGCUAGGGGAGCGAAUGGG
rnacentral:rRNA from 1 species